rnacentral:rRNA from 1 species
AUUGAACGCUGGCGGCAGGCCUAACACAUGCAAGUCGAGCGGUAGCACAGAGAGCUUGCUCUCGGGUGACGAGCGGCGGACGGGUGAGUAAUGUCUGGGAAACUGCCUGAUGGAGGGGGAUAACUACUGGAAACGGUAGCUAAUACCGCAUAACGUCGCAAGACCAAAGUGGGGGACCUUCGGGCCUCAUGCCAUCAGAUGUGCCCAGAUGGGAUUAGCUAGUAGGUGGGGUAAUGGCUCACCUAGGCGACGAUCCCUAGCUGGUCUGAGAGGAUGAUCAGCCACACUGGAACUGAGACACGGUCCAGACUCCUACGGGAGGCAGCAGAGGGGAAUAUUGCACAAUGGGCGCAAGCCUGAUGCAGCCAUGCCGCGUGUAUGAAGAAGGCAUUCGGGUUGUAAAGUACUUUCAGCGAGGAGGAAGGCAUUAAGGUUAAUAACCUUAGUGAUUGACGUUACUCGCAGAAGAAGCACCGGCUAACUCCGUGUCAGCCGCCGCAGUAAGAC